rnacentral:rRNA from 1 species
UACGAAGGGGGCUAGCGUUGUUCGGAAUUACUGGGCGUAAAGCGCGCGUAGGCGGUUUGGUAAGUUAGAAGUGAAAUGCCGGGGCUUAACCUCGGAAUUGCUUUUAAAACUGCCAGGCUAGAGUUCGAGAGAGGAUAGUGGAAUUCCUAGUGUAGAGGUGAAAUUCGUAGAUAUUAGGAAGAACACCAGUGGCGAAGGCGGCUAUCUGGCUCGAUACUGACGCUGAGGCGCGAAAGCGUGGGGAGCAAACAGG